AUACGUAGGGAGCGAGCGUUGUCCGGAAUUACUGGGUGUAAAGGGUGCGUAGGCGGCCAAGCAAGUCAGACGUGAAAUACAUGGGCUUAACCCGUGGGCUGCGUUUGAAACUGCAUGGCUUGAGUGAGGUAGAGGCAGGCGGAAUUCCCGGUGUAGCGGUGAAAUGCGUAGAGAUCGGGAGGAACACCAGUGGCGAAGGCGGCCUGCUGGGCUUUAACUGACGCUGAGGCACGAAAGCAUGGGUAGC
rnacentral:rRNA from 1 species